rnacentral:lncRNA from 1 species
UCGCAGUGGACGAUUGGCUCGCGGCAUUCCUCGUGGAGAUAGGCGAGAGCCCUAGCGGUGCCCAGCGCGAUCUUGAAUCGCGUCGGCCAGUCCAGCGAUGGCCGCGCUCCCUGGUAAGAAUCGUCCUCGUCUUCGCCGGGCGCGAGUGGUCUUGACGAUGUCGAUAAGCUGGUGGAUGUAGUGGCGCUGGAUCUUGCCUCCUGGGCGCCAGAUCGUGAGAGAUUGCUGGAUCGCGACGGCAAUGCUGCUGCCUGGCCUCCAGACUUCGAAAUAUCGCUGGAUUGC